rnacentral:rRNA from 1 species
UUAUCUCUGUAGAGUCUGCAUAUCAAUAAGCGGAGGAAAAGAAACUAACUAGGAUUCCCUCAGUAACGGCGAGUGAAGCGGGAAGAGCUCAAAUUUGAAAUCUUCAAGGUUUUACCUUGACGAAUUGUAGUUUAAAGAAGUGUUUUCUGUUGGAGUUUUGGUAAAAGUUCUUUGGAAUAGGACAUCAUAGAGGGUGAGAAUCCCGUAUUUGACCAUUAUUUCCAGCUUUGUGAUACACUUUCAAAGAGUCGGAUUGUUUGGGAAUGCAGUCCAAAAUGGGUGGUAAAUUUCAUCUAAAGCUAAAUACUGGCGAGAGACCGAUAGCGAACAAGUACCGUGAGGGAAAGAUGAAAAGAACUUUGAAAAGAGAGUUAAACAGUACGUGAAAUUGUCAAAAGGGAAGCGUUUGACACCAGUGUUGUUUUCUCGAAAAUCAAUUAAAAAUGGCGGGAUUUUGUGUUGUAUUGGCUUUAUCAGCUUUCUGCACUCUUUUCCUGUCUUUUUUAAUGCACUUUUCGUUUAACAAGUCAACAUCAAUUUCUUUUGUUGUAAAAGAGUCAUUGGAAGGUGGCUUUCUUUUCGGAGAAAGUGUUUAUAGCCUUUGGCUUCUGCAAUCGGAGAGAUUGAGGUCUGCAGCGUAGAUCCUUCAGGGUUAGAUACAUUUGUGCUAAGUUAUAGCCUUUCAUAGACAACUUGUUGACUAUGAUCAGUCAUGUAGCUUACUCGCUUAUGCUAUUUUACCUACGCUUAGGAUGUUGAGUCAUCACACAUCUCU